CCUACGGGAGGCAGCAGUGGGGAAUAUUGCGCAAUGGGGGAAACCCUGACGCAGCGACGCCGCGUGAGCGAAGAAGGCCUUAGGGUUGUAAAGCUCUGUUUUAGGGGACGAAUGUUACGGGGAGUAAUAUGCCCUGUAAAUGACGGUACCCUAAGAGGAAGCCCCGGCUAACUACGUGCCAGCAGCCGCGGUAAGACGUAGGGGGCGAGCGUUGUCCGGAAUUACUGGGCGUAAAGAGCACGUAGGCGGGAACUUAAGUCAGGUGUGAAAGACCGAGGCUCAACCUCGGGUAUGCACUUGAAACUGGGUUUCUUGAGGGCAGGAGAGGAAAGCAGAAUUCCUGGUGUAGCGGUGAAAUGCGUAGAAAUCAGGAGGAAUACCAGUGGCGAAGGCGGCUUUCUGGACUGACCCUGACGCUGAGGUGCGAAAGCGUGGGUAGCAAACAGGAUUAGAUACCCCGGUAGUC
rnacentral:rRNA from 1 species